CUCGCCUACAUGAAGUUGGAACCGCUAGUAAUCGCGAAUCAGAAUGUCGCGGUGAAUACGUUCCCGGGUCUUGUACACACCGCCCGUCACACCACGAGAGUUUACAACACCCGAAGUCAGUGGCCUAACCGCAAGGAGGGAGCUGGCCUAAGGGUGGGGUAGAUGAUUGGGGUGAAGUCGUAACAAGGUAGC
rnacentral:rRNA from 1 species